rnacentral:rRNA from 1 species
UGGCGAACGGGUGAGUAACACGUGGGUGAUCUGCCCUGCACUUCGGGAUAAGCUUGGGAAACUGGGUCUAAUACCGGAUAGGAGCCAUCUUUAGUGUGGUGGUUGGAAAGUUUUCUCGGUGUAGGAUGAGCUCGCGGCCUAUCAGCUUGUUGGUGGGGUAAUGGCCUACCAAGGCGGCGACGGGUAGCCGGCCUGAGAGGGUGUACGGCCACAUUGGGACUGAGAUACGGCCCAG